rnacentral:lncRNA from 1 species
GAAACAGAAUGCUUCGUCAGUGUUCCAGGGACAUCUCUGGAAAAAAACCACCACCCCCAACAACAACAACCUGCACUUUCUGUUCUCUGAAGUAUUCAUGAGUCUUUGGCAAGGGACCUAGCUUUCUCAUUCACAUGCUGCUGCGGCAUUUUUGCUGUUGAUUUGAAAUCUUGUAGUGUCUUGAACAUCACCUGGGAAAUCAAGGUCCAUGUCAGGUGUUCUGAAGACUGCAUGUUUAAUAAAAGCUGAUGAUUAGACGUGGCU